rnacentral:rRNA from 1 species
UACGUAGGCAGCGAGCGUUGUUCGGAAUUACUGGGCGUAAAGAGUGUGUAGGCGGUGCUCUAAGUUCGGUGUGAAAUCUCCUGGCUCAACUGGGAGGGUGCGCCGGAAACUGGAGUGCUUGAGCGUGGGAGAGGAAAGCCGGAAUUCCUGGUGUAGCGGUGAAAUGCGUAGAUAUCAGGAGGAACACCUGUGGUGUAGACGGCUUUCUGGACCAUAGCUGACGCUGAGACACGAAAGCGUGGGUAGCAAACAGG